rnacentral:rRNA from 1 species
CCUACGGGUGGCAGCAGUGGGGAAUAUUGGACAAUGGGCGAAAGCCUGAUCCAGCCAUGCCGCGUGUGUGAAGAAGGCCUUCGGGUUGUAAAGCACUUUCAGUGGGGAAGAAAGCCUUGGGGCUAAUACCCUCGAGGAAGGACAUCACCAACAGAAGAAGCACCGGCUAACUCCGUGCCAGCAGCCGCGGUAAUACGGAGGGUGCGAGCGUUAAUCGGAAUUACUGGGCGUAAAGCGCGCGUAGGCGGUCUGAUAAGCCGGUUGUGAAAGCCCCGGGCUCAACCUGGGAACGGCAUCCGGAACUGUCAGGCUAGAGUGCAGGAGAGGAAGGUAGAAUUCCCGGUGUAGCGGUGAAAUGCGUAGAGAUCGGGAGGAAUACCAGUGGCGAAGGCGGCCUUCUGGACUGACACUGACGCUGAGGUGCGAAAGCGUGGGUAGCAAACAGGAUUAGAUACCCGAGUAGUC